rnacentral:lncRNA from 1 species
AAGCCAGGCACCAUGGGCAACGCCAUUGAGGAGGAGGCUCCAGAGCUGGACCUGCCGGGGCCCGUGUUUGUGGACGACUUCUACUACGACUACAAUUUCAUCAGCUUCCACGAGGAUCUGUCCUACAGGCCCUCUGAGGAGCCCAAUCUAGAGCUGGCGGGGACAGGGGAUCGGACGCCCCCACCACACAGCCGUCCUGCUGCGCCCUCCACGGGUAGCCCCGUGCCUGCCACAGAGCCUCCUGCAGCCAAGGAGGAAGGGGCAACGGGACCUUGGUCCCCGAGCCCUUGGCCUAGCCAGGCCGGCCGCUCCCCACCCCCACCCUCAGAGCAGACCCCUGGGAACCCUUUGAUCAAUUUCCUGCCUGAGGAAGACGCCCCCAUAGGGGCCCCAGAUCUUGGGCUCCCCAGCCUGCCCUGGCCCAGGGUUUCCACUGAUGGCCUGCAGACGCCUGCCGCCCCUGAGAGCCAAAAUGAUUUCCCAGUUGGCAAGGACAGCCAGAGCCAGCUGCCCUCUCCAUGGCAGGACAGGACCAAUGAGGUUUUCAAAUGAUGAGGAACCCGAGGGCUGCGGAGCACCCCACCUGCCCCCGAGACCCAGCCCCACGCUGCCCACUUUGUACCCGGUCAGCAGCACCCACUCCUCUCCUAGUCCUGACGUGGCCCACUGUUGGGGUGGCUUCUCUCCCUCCUCCUCCCAUAGCCCCUCUGCCAGAGAUGAAGGGCAAGGACAGUCCCCUGGAGCCGGGGACUCCCACCUUCCCAACCCCAGGACCAGGCUUAUGGGACCUUCAGACUGUGGCAGCGUGGGUAGUUUCCUGGCUGUGGAGGCCUGGCGAGGAUGGGAUCUGCCUGGCUUUCACGGGUCUGUGCCCCGUAGUGCUCCACCACCUGUGGCCUGGGUGCCCUCUGGAGGCCGGUGCGCUGUAGCUCCAGCCGGGAUGAGGACUGCGACCCCGCUGGCCGGCCCCAGCCUGCCGCUCCAGGCUGCAUGUCUAUGUGCCUGAUCGCACCAGAUUCCGAAUCUCUUGGGAGUCAUCUCAUCUUUGUCUGGCUUGGCCUGUCUCCUUUCCUCUGUAUCUUUGACCCCAUCUGGACUUGUUCCUCCCUUUCUCUGUCUGUCCCAGCCCAUGGCAGCCCCUGGCCAUGCCACCUUUUGCCUGGGGCCUGCCAGCCUUGGCCUCUCGCUGGGGCUCUUCAGGGAUUUGCCCCCGGCUGGGGCGUGGGUCUGAUGCCUUUCCUGCCACACGCCUCACGGGGUCAUGCCUGUGGGCCUGCACGUGGGGAUGUGUCCACACAAGUCUCUCGGUCCCCAGUGCUCCCACAGCUGUGGCAGAGGUUCCUCAGUGUGGGACAUGCAGCACGUGGACACAUGGGACCUCCGGCCACUGUGGCCCUUCCAUUGUCAGCCUGGACCUGCCAAGCUGCCUGUGCACUGGCCCUGCGGGGCCCAGCCCUGCCUCAGCUGGUACAUGUCUUCCUGGAGGGAGGUGAGGCCUGGGCGUUGAGUUGGGGGGAGGGGACACCCUCAGACCCUGGCUGUGCCCUGACUCCUUCCCUGCCCACCCAGUGCUCCGAGGCCUGUGGCGGUGGUGAGCAGCAGCGUCUGGUGACCUGCCCAGAGCCAGACCUCUGCGAGGAGGCACUGAGACCCAACACCACCCGGCCCUGCAACACCCACCCCUGCACACAGUGGGUGGUGGGGCCCUGGGGCCAGGUGAGCCAGGCUGCGGGGGGGAGCAGGGAGCAAGUGCUUGGUAGCGCCUGGUCAGUCCUGGGUUGGGUGAAGGAGCUGUGGAGUGUGUGCUGUGAGCCAGGCUGUCUGUGGCCCCUGCACAUGCAGCAGUCACUGGACGAAGCCCUGCCAUGCUGGUGCUCACACCUGCCAGGGAGAAACAGACAAGGAAAGGGCACGUGUGCUGUGAUGUCAGGGAAGGCCUUCCGAGGAGGGGUCUGGGGUUGAGACCCGAGGGAGGAGUCAGUGAUGCCAAGGACAGGGAUCGAGGGGAGAGCAGGUGUGAAGUCUGAGGCAGGAAUGAUGAGCUUGGGGAGAUCAGGGAGCCCAGCAAAGGCCAGCGGCAGAAGGGGGCAGAAGCGGGGCCUCGGAUGGGCAGGACACCUUCUGCUGGGCCUGUUUGGAACUGAGGGGUUCAGAAAUCUCAGAUUUGGGCCCUGAGCUGGGUCCGGG